GGUUCAGACGGCAGCGCGUGGGGCAACCCUGGCGGCGAGUGGCGAACGGGUGAGUAAUACAUCGGAACGUGUCCUGGAGUGGGGGAUAGCCCGGCGAAAGCCGGAUUAAUACCGCAUACGCUCUGUGGAGGAAAGCGGGGGAUCUUCGGACCUCGCGCUCAAGGGGCGGCCGAUGGCAGAUUAGCUAGUUGGUGGGGUAAAGGCCUACCAAGGCGACGAUCUGUAGCUGGUCUGAGAGGACGACCAGCCACACUGGGACUGAGACACGGCCCAGACUCCUACGGGAGGCAGCAGUGGGGAAUUUUGGACAAUGGGGGCAACCCUGAUCCAGCAAUGCCGCGUGUGUGAAGAAGGCCUUCGGGUUGUAAAGCACUUUUGUCCGGAAAGAAAACCGCUUCUCUAAUACAGGGGCGGGAUGACGGUACCGGAAGAAUAAGCACCGGCUAACUACGUGCCAGCAGCCGCGGUAAUACGUAGGGUGCAAGCGUUAAUCGGAAUUACUGGGCGUAAAGCGUGCGCAGGCGGUUCGCUAAGACCGAUGUGAAAUCCCCGGGCUUAACCUGGGAACUGCAUUGGUGACUGGCGGGCUAGAGUAUGGCAGAGGGGGGUAGAAUUCCACGUGUAGCAGUGAAAUGCGUAGAGAUGUGGAGGAAUACCGAUGGCGAAGGCAGCCCCCUGGGCCAAUACUGACGCUCAUGCACGAAAGCGUGGGGAGCAAACAGGAUUAGAUACCCUGGUAGUCCACGCCCUAAACGAUGUCAACUAGUUGUCGGGUCUUCAUUGACUUGGUAACGAAGCUAACGCGUGAAGUUGACCGCCUGGGGAGUACGGUCGCAAGAUUAAAACUCAAAGGAAUUGACGGGGACCCGCACAAGCGGUGGAUGAUGUGGAUUAAUUCGAUGCAACGCGAAAAACCUUACCUACCCUUGACAUGUACGGAACCUUGCUGAGAGGUGAGGGUGCCCGAAAGGGAGCCGUAACACAGUGCUGCAUGGCUGUCGUCAGCUCGUGUCGUGAGAUGUUGGUUAAGUCCCGCAACGAGCGCAACCCUUGUCCCUAGUGCUACGCAGAGCACUCUAGGAGACUGCGUGACAACCGGAGAGGUGGGGAUG
rnacentral:rRNA from 1 species